rnacentral:rRNA from 1 species
CCCUUAGAUGUCCUGGGCCGCACGCGCGCUACACUGACAUGUUCAACAAGCCUCCUAGUUCGACAGGAUUUGGGAAAUCUUUGAACGCAUGUCGUGAUAGGGAUAGAUCAUUGCAAUUAUUGAUCUUGAACGAGGAAUUCCUAGUAAACGCGAGUCAUCAGCUCGCAUUGAUUACGUCCCUGCCCUUUGUACACACCGCCCGUCGCACCUACCGAUUGAAUGUUUCGGUGAAGAUUCCGGAUAGGACUUUUUUGAUUUAUUUCAAUUUUGUCUUAAAAGCUAUCUAAACCUCAACAUUUAGAGGAAGGUGAAGUCGCAACA